rnacentral:rRNA from 1 species
AUGCUCAAGAUCAAAGUCUUUGGUUGGCUACUCCUGGUGGAUAGGCUUAACGCAAGAGAUAUGAUGCAAAGCCGACAUCUUUGCAGACUCUCACACAUGAGGAUCGAGCACAUAUGUUCUUUGUUUUUAACUUCAUCCAGUUGGAAUUAUCUUGGGAUUACUUGGGCAUCUCAACCAAAUCAAUCAACCUAUUUGAUGGCGGUAGUAGAAAGGAAGGAUUUUGAUAUACCCUUCUUUAUUGUGGUGGUUUUUAUUGCCACUUGGAACAUCUGGACCCAGAGGAACGACAAAAAUCUUCAGAAAUGA